rnacentral:rRNA from 1 species
AGUGAACGCUGGCGGUAGGCCUAACACAUGCAAGUCGAACGGCAGCACAGUAAGAGCUUGCUCUUACGGGUGGCGAGUGGCGGACGGGUGAGGAAUACAUCGGAAUCUACUUUUUCGUGGGGGAUAACGUAGGGAAACUUACGCUAAUACCGCAUACGACCUACGGGUGAAAGCAGGGGAUCUUCGGACCUUGCGCGAUUGAAUGAGCCGAUGUGGGAUUAGCUAGUUGGCGGGGUAAAGGCCCACCAAGGCGACGAUCCGUAGCUGGUCUGAGAGGAGGGUAGGCCACACUGGAACUGGAACAGGGUCCAGGCUCCUAAGGGAGGCAGCAGUGGGGAAUAUUGGACAAUGGGCGCAAGCCUGAUCCAGCCAUACCGCGUGGGUGAAGAAGGCCUUCGGGUUGUAAAGCCCUUUUGUUGGGAAAGAAAAGCAGCAGGUUAAUACCCCGCUGUUCUGACGGUACCCAAAGAAUAAGCACCGGCUAACUUCGUG